rnacentral:rRNA from 1 species
GUGUCAGCCGCCGCGGUAAGACGGAGGGUGCAAGCGUUGUUCGGAAUCACUGGGCGUAAAGAGCGUGUAGGCGGCUGAAUAAGUCGGAUGUGAAAGCCCGGAGCUCAACUCCGGAAGUGCAUUCGAAACUGUUCGGCUCGAGUACGGGAGAGGGAAGUGGAAUUCCUGGUGUAGAGGUGAAAUUCGUAGAUAUCAGGAGGAACACCGGUGGCGAAGGCGGCUUCCUGGACCGAUACUGACGCUGAGACGCGAAAGCGUGGGGAGCAAACAGGAUUAGAUACCCUGGUAGUCCACGCCGUAAACGGUGAGCACUAGGUGUAGCGGGUAUUGACCCCUGCUGUGCCGCAGCUAACGCAUUAAGUGCUCCGCCUGGGGAGUACGGCCGCAAGGCUAAA